rnacentral:tmRNA from 1 species
GGGGAUGACAGGGUUCGAUAGACGGACCAAGUUAUCUAUGACUUGCAUGCCGAGCUGUCUAACUCGUUAAACUGGGCAAAUUCUACGUGCAAACGUAAUCAGCCGUGUAAAGAAUGUAUUAGCCAACGCUUUUACUGUUCGUACAUUGGCUUCUGCUCUCGUUUAAUCACUUGAGCCAUCGUAACCACAAUACUCAAUAGUGGAACUACGGUGUAAAUCAUUGAGCGUAGGCCAAAUCAAUUGUCUUUAUUGAUUUGCUGAAAGACUAAAAGACUAGUCAAUUACUUUUUUGCAUUUUUCUAGGUAGUUGGCAAAACAACAAAAGUGCUAAACAUGUAGAAAGCAUUCAUAACCCGCUCUAGACCCGGGUUCAAUUCCCGGCAUCUCCACCG